rnacentral:rRNA from 1 species
GACUUGAUCGUGAUCCAGCAUGCCGCGUGAGUGAAGAAGGCCUUCGGGUUGUAAAGCUCUUUUGUCAGGGAAGAAACGGUUGUGGCUAAUAUCCUCGGCUCAUGACGGUACCUGAAGAAUAAGCACCGGCUAACUACGUGCCAGCAGCCGCGGUAAUACGUAGGGUGCAAGCGUUAAUCGGAAUUACUGGGCGUAAAGCGUGCGCAGGCGGUUUUGUAAGUCUGACGUGAAAUCCCCGGGCUUAACCUGGGAAUUGCGUUGGAAACUGCAAGGCUAGAAUCUGGCAGAGGGGGGUAGAAUUCCACGUGUAGCAGUGAAAUGCGUAGAGAUGUGGAGGAACACCGAUGGCGAAGGCAGCCCCCUGGGUCAAGAUUGACGCUCAUGCACG